rnacentral:rRNA from 1 species
UGGGGAAUAUUGCACAAUGGGCGAAAGCCUGAUGCAGCGACGCCGCGUGAGGGAUGACGGCCUUCGGGUUGUAAACCUCUUUCAGCAGGGAAGAAGCGAAAGUGACGGUACCUGCAGAAGAAGCACCGGCUAACUACGUGCCAGCGGCCGCGGUAAUACGUAGGGUGCCAGCGUUGUCCGGAAUUAUUGGGCGUAAAGAGCUUGAAGGUGGUUGGUCGCGUCUGCUGUGAAAAUCCGAGGCUCAACCUCGGACUCGCCGUGGGUACGGGCAGACUUGAGUGUGGUAGGGGAGACUGGAAUUCCUGGUGUAGCGGUGGAAUGCGCAGAUAUCAGGAGGAACACCGAUGGCGAAGGCAGGUCUCUGGGCUAUUACUGACGCUGAGAAGCGAAAGCAUGGGGAGCGAACAGGAUUAGAUACCCUGGUAGUCCAUGCCGUAAACGUUGGGAACUAGGUGUGGGUCUUAUUCCGCGAGAUCCGUGCCGCAGCUAACGCAUUAAGUUCCCCGCCUGGGGAGUACGGCCGCAAGGCUAAAACUCAAAGGAAUUG